AGAGAUAGCGAAUUUCAUUUUCCAGCGAUUAUUCUUUAGGAGGUUGUGAAUUGAUUUCGACGAGAUCGGGGGCGAUGGCGGAUGUGCAGCAGUUGCUGAGCUUGAUCAUUGGCACUUUGAAGAGCAUCGAAGGUCAGUCGCUCGUUUCCAACUCCUCUGAGGUGGACGACUGGCUCAAGUUUGCAUCUAGUUUUGGCGUGGGGUCUGAGUUUGAGGGAGCUUGUGCUUAUGCCAACAGUUACCUUACCUUGCGCACAUUCCUCGUUGGUAAUGAACUCACCAUAGCCGAUAUUACCGUAGUUGCAUACCUAGCAGGGGCAGGGCCGAGAUGGGAAAGCUUUCGGAAAUCCUCAAAGUUUCCGAACCUCGUACGAUGGUACAAUUGCAUCCUUGCGCAAUAUGCUGCGAUUGCAGAUGUCUUGCCUCGGCGUGGCUCUGGAAAGCCUGCUGCAGAGGUUUCAAAACCUAGCUCUACUGCGGCGGCUCCAGAUGAGGCAAAGGAGAAGGUCGAUGGCUCCUUCGAAGUGGAUUUGCCCGGUGCAGAGAUGGGCAAAGUAUGCACACGGUUUCCACCCGAGCCAAGUGGUUACCUUCACAUUGGUCAUGCUAAGGCUGCUCUUUUGAACCAGUUUUUCGCGCAAAAGUACAAAGGGCGUCUUAUUAUUCGGUUCGACGAUACAAACCCGGCGAAAGAGAAAGAUGAGUUUGUGGAGAGCAUUCUGCAUGAUUUGGAAACAUUAGGUGUGAAGGGGGAUGUGAUUACGUACACAUCUGAUUAUUUUCCACAGCUUAUGGAGAUGUGUGAGAAGUUGAUCAAAGAGGGUAAGGCAUAUGUGGAUGACACGGAGCGAGAGCAAAUGCAAACAGAGAGGAAGGCUAUGAUCGAGUCUAAGUGCCGAAACCAGAGUGUUGAGGAGAAUCUGAUAUUGUGGAAGGAAAUGAUUGCUGGCUCACCAAGAGGUGUUCAGUGUUGUGUCCGUGCGAAGAUGGACAUGAGUAACCCUAAUGCAUCGCUUCGAGACCCAGUUUAUUAUCGUUGCAAUCCAGCUCCUCACCUCCGUGUGGGUUCUAAGUACAAGGUCUAUCCCACAUACGAUUUCGCAUGUCCCUACGUGGAUAGCAUAGAAGGCGUUACUCAUGCACUUCGAUCGAGUGAAUAUCAUGAUCGAAAUGACCAGUAUUACAGAGUCCUGGAAGAUAUGCAACUCAGGAAGGUUCAUGUAUGGGACUUCAGCCGCCUCAAUUUCGUUUAUACUCUGCUUAGCAAGCGUAAGCUGCAAUGGUUUGUGGACAACGGACGAGUGGAGGGUUGGAACGAUCCUCGUUUUCCGACAGUUCAAGGCAUUAUUCGUAGGGGUCUCACAAUUGAGGCUCUCAAGCAGUUUAUCUUAUCUCAGGGUGCAUCAAAGAAUUUGAAUCUGAUGGAGUGGGACAAGCUCUGGACAAUAAACAAGAAGAUUAUUGACCCUAUUUGUCCCAGGCAUACAGCUGUUCUUUCGGAGGGGAAGGUUCUGCUUGAUCUAAGCAAUGGUCCGGAGACUCCUUUUACUCGGGUGAUCCUGCGACACAAGAAAUAUGAACCAGCUGGGAAGAAAGCCUCCGUUUUCACAAAGAGAAUUUGGCUUGAUCACGCAGAUGCUACUGCCGUGUCCGAGGGAGAGGAAGUCACUCUUAUGGACUGGGGUAAUUGUUUCAUUAGGAAAGUUGAACGCGACCAAUACGGGCUUGUUACUCGUCUUCAGGGAGAAUUGCAUGUCGAGGGAUCGGUGAAGACCACUAAGCUGAAAUUGACGUGGCUUCCUGAGUUUUCAGAGUUGGUUCCCGUGACUCUCGUUGACUUGGAUCACCUCAUCGUCAAGAAAAAGCUCGAGGAGAAUGACGACUUUGUGUCCGUCCUGAACCCUGUAACUCGAAUCGAGACUUCAGCAUUGGGAGACUCUAACAUGCGAAACUUACAGCGUGGGGAAAUCAUUCAGCUGGAGAGGAAGGGUUAUUACAUUUGUGACGUGCCGUUUUUGCGGUCGUCUAAACCAAUUGUGCUCAUUUCAAUUCCUGAUGGCAGACAACAGAAACCACCAGGUCCACAGUGAUGACGUGAGAUAUAAUUACAGUUUGAUACCUCUAGGCUCAUGUGCAUUAGAGCCGCCAGUUACAUCAAGUGGUGAUCGAGCUCAUCAGUACCCAACUGUACGAGUUUGUUUGAGAACACCUCAGGGCAAUGAAAAUGUCCUGCGGUUGACAACCUUAAAACGAUGGUUACCAGGAGAAGCCAUCGCGAGGCAUGGUUCUGCUGCAGUCAAUGUCAUUGAUCUGACAUGCGAGGCUAGUGAGGUAAUUCUCAGUCUACCUUGCAUAAGCCGCAGGAAUUCCUUUAUUAUUUGAUCUGAUGCUUAUUAGAUUGUGUGCCUUGGACGAGGAGACUCCAACAAAUGAAAUUACACGAUUUUGGAAUUUGCAAAUCAAAAGCAGGAAGUUGUACAAAUUUUUGUCUAAAUGAGUUUUUAACAUAUCUACACUUGAGUUGUUUUUAAUUAAUUUUAGUACUAUGUGAGAACAAAUGUUGAGGUAGAUUUGGGCAGAAUUCAUGACUUUUCAUCCACCAUUAAUCUAGCAGUGGUAUCUAUAUUUGAUAUUUUUAAAAUUUAUAUUCAGUCUUCCUUCUAUUUUUCUAGGAAGUUGUAUU